rnacentral:tRNA from 1 species
ACAUCCAUGGAGUAGUAGUCUAGCUCAUUCCCUUUCCACCCUUUGGCGCAGUUGUUAGGGAAAGACCCGGGUGCGAAUCCCGGUGGAUGCA